CAGCAGCCGCGGUAAUACGUAGGGUGCAAGCGUUAAUCGGAAUUACUGGGCGUAAAGCGUGCGCAGGCGGUCCGCUAAGACAGAUGUGAAAUCCCCGGGCUUAACCUGGGAACUGCAUUUGUGACUGGCGGGCUAGAGUAUGGCAGAGGGGGGUAGAAUUCCACGUGUAGCAGUGAAAUGCGUAGAGAUGUGGAGGAAUACCGAUGGCGAAGGCAGCCCCCUGGGCCAAUACUGACGCUCAUGCACGAAAGCGUGGGGAGCAAACAGGAUUAGAUAUCCCUGUAGUCCCUGUCUCUUAUAC
rnacentral:rRNA from 1 species